GCAUAUCAAUAAGCGGAGGAAAAGAAACCCCGGGGUAUUGCCUCAGUAACGGCGAGUGAAGCGGCAAAAGCUCAAAUUUGAAAUCUGGUACCUUUGGUGCCCGAGUUGUAAUUUGAAGAUAGUUUUCUGGUGCUGGCCCUUGUCUAUGUUCCUUGGAACAGGACGUCACAGAGGGUGAGAAUCCCGUCUGGCGGGGUGUCCAGUGCUUUGUAGAUUUCUAUCGACGAGUCGAGUUGUUUGGGAAUGCAGCUCUAAGUGGGUGGUAAAUUCCAUCUAAAGCUAAAUAUUGGCGAGAGACCGAUAGCGAACAAGUACAGUGAUGGAAAGAUGAAAAGAACUUUGAAAAGAGAGUGAAAAAGUACGUGAAAUUGUUGAAAGGGAAGGGUAUUAGAUCAGACUUGGUGUUUUGUGAUUAUCUUCCCUUCUUGGGUUGUGCACUCGCAUUUCACUGGGCCAGCAUCGGUUCGGGUGGUAAGAUAAUGACAUUGGAACGUGGCACUGCCUUCGGGUGGUGUGUUAUAGCCCUUGUUGAUGUUGCCUACCUGGACCGAGGACUGCGGCUUUUGCCUAGGAUGCUGGCGUAAUGAUCUAACACCGCCCGUCUUGAAACACGGACC
rnacentral:rRNA from 1 species